rnacentral:rRNA from 1 species
GAUGAACGCUGGCGGCGUGCCUAAUACAUGCAAGUCGAGCGAACGGACGAGAAGCUUGCUUUUCUGAUGUUAGCGGCGGACGGGUGAGUAACACGUGGAUAACCUACCUAUAAGACUGGGAUAACUUCGGGAAACCGGAGCUAAUACCGGAUAAUAUUUUGAACCGCAUGGUUCAAAAGUGAAAGACGGUCUUGCUGUCACUUAUAGAUGGAUCCGCGCUGCAUUAGCUAGUUGGUAAGGUAACGGCUUACCAAGGCAACGAUGCAUAGCCGACCUGAGAGGGUGAUCGGCCACAGUGGAACGGAAACCAGGUCCAGACCCCUAGGGGGGGCAGCAGUAGGGAAUUUGCCGCAAUGGGCGAAAGCCUGACGGAGCAACGCCGGGGGGGUGAUGAAGGUCUUCGGAUCGUAAAACUCUGUUAUUAGGGAAGAACAUAUGUGUAAGUAACUGUGCACAUCUUGACGGUACCUAAUCAGAAAGCCACGGCUAACUACGU